ACACAUGCAAGUCGAGGGGCAGCAUGGUCUUAGCUUGCUAAGGCCGAUGGCGACCGGCGCACGGGUGAGUAACACGUAUCCAACCUGCCGUCUACUCUUGGACAGCCUUCUGAAAGGAAGAUUAAUACAAGAUGGCAUCAUGAGUCCGCAUGUUCACAUGAUUAAAGGUAUUCCGGUAGACGAUGGGGAUGCGUUCCAUUAGAUAGUAGGCGGGGUAACGGCCCACCUAGUCUUCGAUGGAUAGGGGUUCUGAGAGGAAGGUCCCCCACAUUGGAACUGAGACACGGUCCAAACUCCUACGGGAGGCAGCAGUGAGGAAUAUUGGUCAAUGGGCGCAGGCCUGAACCAGCCAAGUAGCGUGAAGGAUGACUGCCCUAUGGGUUGUAAACUUCUUUUAUAAAGGAAUAAAGUCGGGUAUGUAUACCCGUUUGCAUGUACUUUAUGAAUAAGGAUCGGCUAACUCCGUGCCAGCAGCCGCGGUAAUACGGAGGAUCCGAGCGUUAUCCGGAUUUAUUGGGUUUAAAGGGAGCGUAGAUGGAUGUUUAAGUCAGUUGUGAAAGUUUGCGGCUCAACCGUAAAAUUGCAGUUGAUACUGGAUAUCUUGAGUGCAGUUGAGGCAGGCGGAAUUCGUGGUGUAGCGGUGAAAUGCUUAGAUAUCACGAAGAACUCCGAUUGCGAAGGCAGCCUGCUAAGCUGCAACUGACAUUGAGGCUCGAAAGUGUGGGUAUCAAACAGGAUUAGAUACCCUGGUAGUCCACACGGUAAACGAUGAAUACUCGCUGUUUGCGAUAUACAGCAAGCGGCCAAGCGAAAGCGUUAAGUAUUCCACCUGGGGAGUACGCCGGCA
rnacentral:rRNA from 1 species